rnacentral:rRNA from 1 species
GACGAACGCUUUCUUCUUUCUUAACACAUGCAAGUCGAACGGAAAGGCCCUGCUUUUGGGGGGUGCUCGAGUGGCGAACGGGUGAGUAACACGUGAGUAACCUGCCACUGACUUUGGGAUAACUUCAGGAAACUGGGGCUAAUACCGGAUAGGAGCUCUUGCUGCAUGGUGGGGGUUGGUAAGUUUCGGCGGUUGGGGAUGGACUCGCGGCUCAUCAGCUUGUUGGUGGGGUAGUGGCUUACCAAGGCUUUGAAGGGUAGCCGGCCUGAGAGGGUGACCGGCCACAUUGGGACUGGAAUGCGGCCCAGACUCCUACGGGAGGCAGCAGUGGGGAAUAGUGCACUAUGGGCGGAAGCCUGAUGCAGCACCGCCGCGUGCGGGAUGACGGCCAUCGGGUUGUAAUCCGCUUUCGCCUGUGACGGGACGUGAGUGACGGUAAUGGGUAAAGAAGCACCGGCUAACUACGGG